UGGACGCAAGGCAAAUAUGCCUAUAGUGAGAUUGGCUGUUGAAAGACAGGUCAUCUGAGCUGCUCAGUGACUACAGGGAAAGAGGAAACAGUUUAAGGGCUGCUGCUUCCAGACCAGAAAGAACUUGAAGGAAUUACAGCUUGAAAAGAGAUAAAGGUGCCCUGGAAAAUACUACAAAUGCAAGGUGGGAUUCUUAGAAACACUCCAUACCAACUGUCAAACUGCAUCCAAGGACAUCUACUUGUGACUUUUUGCUUUCUGCUUGUGAUACCAUACGUCUCCUGCUUCAGAAGCUGAUAGCCAUCCAGCUCUUUCUCAGAACUCUGCUCAUGCAUCUUUCCCUUCCACAGCAUUUCUUCUGGGGGAAUUGAGUGUCUUUCAGUAGAAUCCAGGGGAGUAAAUUGAUGUCUGGGCUAUCCUGGUAAUGCUCUUGUGAAGACGAUCAUUUCCAGAGGCCAUCCAUGGAACCAGCUGCCAAGAGUGAGGCCUUCAUGAUGGGCUGGUAGGCUCAUCGGGAGCCCAGUCCCAUUGACACCUCCUGUCCUGCCAAUGCCGCACUGUGCUCCAGGAUGGGACCGCUCGCCUGGCACUCAGCUGGUCAACACACAGCUCUCUGCAAAUGUGGCCUUCCCUUGUACAGCUGCCUUGCCAUGCCCUGUGAAAAAUGGCAGUUAGUGGUAGAGACCCCCCUGGCUUCCUCAUCCUCCAUCUUCAGCCCUCCCCACCUUGUCAUCCCCUGCCUUCUCAGCCACAUCCCUCUGGCAGUGGUUUGAUGUUCUUCCUUCUAUUUGGCAAGCAGAUUUAAGCAGAUUUUCAGAGUCACAGAAUUGAAGAUUCAUUGGGUUGGAAGGGACCUCUGGAAAUCAUCGGGUCCAACCCCCUGCUAAAGCAAGUUCCCUGCAGUCGGUUACCUAGGAAAGUGUCUGUUGUGGAGUCUCCAGAGAAGGAGACACAGUACUCCAGAUGUGGCCUCACCAGGGAAGAGUAGAGGGGAGGACCUCCUGAGAGGUUUCCACGAAGGCCAGAAACCUAUGCCACCAGCAGGCACCAAGGAACUUCUCAGCAGGAUGCCAAUGGGGACAACAGGAUGUCCCUGGCAGAGGCCUAUCUGCUGAGCAGAGGGGAGGGAGUAACAAGACUGACAAACAUGGCUAUGAGGGCACUGACAGGGGCAACAGCACCUCUAGUGACAAAAAUCAGGCCAAAAAACAAACUCUUAGAAGAAUGGUGAAGGUAGAGAACAUAGUAAAUCCCACUUGGUAAGAAAGAAGAAUUCAGCAAGGACACAUCCCUCUCCCCAUCCUUCAGUUUUCACAAAGCAUCCUACAUGCUGGCUCUCCAUCACCUAGAAUCAGAGAGUCACAGAGCCACAGAAUAUCCUCAAGCUGGGAGGAACCCACAAAGACCAAUGAGUCCAACUCCCAGCUCCACACAGGACCAUCAAAAAUCAGACCAUAGGACUAAGCGUGCUGUCCAAACAUUCCUUGAACUUUGGCAGCUUGGAGCCAUGACCACUGACCUGGAGAGCCUGUUCCAUGCUCACCACCCCGUGGUGAAGAACCUUUUCUAACACCCAGCCUGACCAGCUUGGCCAUCCCCUGACACAACUCCAUGCUGUUCCCUCUGGUCCUUUCCCCAAAACAAUGGGCUCAACAUCAGGCAGAGAAUGGUGCUUAUCCAGUGGAGAUGGAAAAAGGGUUGGGCUCUCCCACACACAAUCCCCUCUUUAAUUGAUUGACCCUUAUUUGAUUGAUCCUCUUGACAUGGAGGAGAAAACAACGCAGAAUGAAAAUUAUGAAUCAGCUGUGUGUGUGUGAAUGCCAAAAGGGUGGGUUAUGGUGAUUCACCACUACAACCUAUUCCUCAGCUCUUCCGUAAUCAAUCUUUUUGUCUUUUGCAUCUUGACAAUGAGUCAUUCUUCAGCAUGCCCUUGUAGUGCUGCCAUGCUGUCUGCCAGUCUCCUGCUGCUGUUCAGUUGUGGUGCCAACAGAGCUUAAGAGAUGCUGCACCUGAUUGCCACAGGAAGACUUCAAGACAUGGAACAAAUUGCUCCAGUGAUAAUGCAGGUAAAUAACACUCCAAGAUGUGAGGGGCACAGACUUGAGAAGUAUUUUGUGCAA